UCCCAGACUCCUACGGGAGGCAGCAGUGGGGAAUAUUGCACAAUGGGGGAAACCCUGAUGCAGCGGCGCCGCGUGAGUGAGGAAGUAUUUCGGUAUGUAAAGCUCUAUCAGCAGGGAAGAAAAUGACGGUACCUGACUAAGAAGCCCCGGCUAACUACGUGCCAGCAGCCGCGGUAAUACGUAGGGGGCAAGCGUUAUCCGGAUUUACUGGGUGUAAAGGGAGCGUAGACGGUGCGUCAAGUCUGAAGUGAAAGCCCGGGGCUUAACCCCGGGACUGCUUUGGAAACUGGCGCGCUAGAGUGCUGGAGAGGUAAGUGGAAUUCCUAGUGUAGCGGUGAAAUGCGUAGAUAUUAGGAGGAACACCAGUGGCGAAGGCGGCUUACUGGACAGUAACUGACGUUGAGGCUCGAAAGCGUGGGGAGCAAACAGGAUUAGAUACCCGCGUAUG
rnacentral:rRNA from 1 species